rnacentral:rRNA from 1 species
CAAUAGCGUAUAUUAAAGUUGUUGCAGUUAAAAAGCUCGUAGUUGGAUUUCUUGGAGGGUGCCAAUGUCUGCUACGGCGUGCGCAGCGGCGCCCUUCCAUCCUUCUGUUAACGCCUCUUGGCAUUCGUUUGCUGGUGGCGGGCUCAGAUAUUUUACCUUGAGAAAAUUAGAGUGUUUCAGGCAGGCUAGGCCGGAAUACAUUAGCAUGGAAUAAUAGAAUAGGACUAUGGUCUCUUUGUUGGUUUGAGGGACUAUGGUAAUGAUUAAUAGGGAUAGUUGGGGGCAUUAGUAUUUAAUUGUCAGAGGUGGAAUUCUCAGAUUUGUUAAAGACUAACUUAUGCGAAAGCAUUUGCCAAGGAUGUUUNCAUUA